AGGAGUUGAUCCGUCCGGGUUGUAGAUAAUCCGUAUAUGAGAUAAAAGAGAACACAAAUAAACUGCCAAUGGUGAAAUAUUGUAGAUCCCAGGGUAGAAAUAAGUCAAACGGAGGAUUGUACACUCACAUUUGGUGGAGCUAGGGCCAGCUCUGGGGUGAAGGGCACUUAGUGGUAUAAUCCCCACUACAGGAUAUACUAGAAGGGUAGGUCCGUCUGGG